GAUGAACGCUAGCGGGAGGCCUAACACAUGCAAGCCGAGCGGUAGAGAUUCUUCGGAAUCUUGAGAGCGGCGUACGGGUGCGGAACACGUGUGCAACCUGCCUUUAUCAGGGGGAUAGCCUUUCGAAAGGAAGAUUAUUACCCCAUAAUAUAUUGAAUGGCAUCAUUUGAUAUUGAAAACUCCGGUGGAUAGAGAUGGGCACGCGCAAGAUUAGAUAGUUGGUGAGGUAACGGCUCACCAAGUCUACGAUCUUUAGGGGGCCUGAGAGGGUGAUCCCCCACACGGGUACUGAGACACGGACCAGACUCCUACGGGAGGCAGCAGUGAGGAAUAUUGGACAAUGGGUGCGAGCCUGAUCCAGCCAUCCCGCGUGAAGGACGACGGCCCUAUGGGUUGUAAACUUCUUUUGUAUAGGGAUAAACCUAGAUACGUGUAUCUAGCUGAAGGUACUAUACGAAUAAGCACCGGCUAACUCCGUGCCAGCCGCCGCCGUAA
rnacentral:rRNA from 1 species